CCCUUAGAUGUCCUGGGCCGCACGCGCGUUACACUGAUGCAUUCAACGAGCUUAUAACCUUGGCCGAGAGGCCUGGGCAAUCUUGUUAACGUGCAUCGUGAUAGGGAUAGAUUAUUGAAAUUACUAAUCUUGAACGAGGAAUUCCUAGUAAACGCAGAUCAUCAAUCUGCAUUGAUUACGUCCCUGCCCUUUGUACACACCGCCCGUCGCACCUACCGAUUGGAUGGUCCGGUGAAGCCUCGGGAUUGUGGUUCUUGCCGCUUUAUUGUAGCGUGACCGCGAGAACUUGUCUAAACCUUAUCAUCUAGAGGAAGGUGAAGUCGUAACA
rnacentral:rRNA from 1 species